ensembl:lincRNA
UCUUGCCACCGCACACUCGUUGGGUACACGCAUUUCUCCAGUCAAGCUGUAACACUCACCACUGCGGUCCACGGAUUCAUUCCUUGUAGCCUGUGAGGCCACGAUCCCUUCAAUUGAGAAAAGACCUUUGAUAGGGAGAAGACUUCUCAUCUCAGGGUAUCCUUCCUCUAUUGAAUAUUCUGGACUCUCCCCAGGAUUCUGAAGAUUACCAUAACCUAGUACACUGUCCAUACAUGUGCAAUAAUGGUUCCGUAAAUUUCCUAAAUGAGUAGAUG